rnacentral:rRNA from 1 species
GACGAGCCACCCAAACGUUAUUCGGAAUUACUGGGCUUAAAGGGUGCGUAGGCGGUGCAGCAAGUCGGGAGUGAAAUACCUCAGCUUAACUGAGGAACUGCUUUCGAUACUGCUGUGCUUGAGUAAGACAGAGGUAAGCGGAACUUAGGGUGGAGCGGUGAAAUGCGUUGAUAUCGUAAGGAACACCCGUGGCGAAAGCGGCUCACUGGGUCUUUUCUGACGCUGAUGCACGAAAGCUAGGGGAGCAAACGGG